rnacentral:rRNA from 1 species
UACCGGGAUUCGAUUAAGCCAUGCGAGUCGAGAGGGUUCGGCCCUCGGCUGACGGCUCAGUAACACGUGGAUAAUCUACCCUAAGGUGGAGGAUAACCUCGGGAAACUGAGAAUAAUACUCCAUAAGUCUAGGAUACUGGAAUGUACUUAGGCUGAAAACUUCGGUGCCCUAGGAUGAGUCUGCGGACUAUCAGGUUGUAGUCAGGGUAAAGACCUGACUAGCCUACAACGGAUACGGGUUGUGAGAGCAAUAACCCGGAGAUGAUAUCUGAGACACGAUAUCAGGCCCUACGGGGCGCAGCAGGCGCGAAAACUUCACACUGCGCGAAAGCGCGAUGAGGGAAUCCCAAGUGCUUGCACGUAAGUGUAAGCUGUCUCUAUGUCUAAAACGCAUAGAGAGUAAGAGCUGGGUAAGACGGGUGCCAGCCGCCGCGGUAAUACCUGCAGCUCAAGUGGUGGCCGUUAUUAUUGGGCCUAAAACGUCCGUAGCCGGUUUAUUAAAUGCCUGGGUAAAUCGGGCCGCUUAACGGUUCGAAUUCCGGGUAGACUGAUAAACUUGGGACCGGGAGAAGCUAGA